GGAUUGUGUGGCAGGCCUGAUCUGGCCUGCGGGACUCUUGACGCAUGGGGUCUAAAGGAAAAGCUGCAUCUUCAUUAUAUUUUUCUUGUCUAGAUGAUCAUUUGAAUGCGUUCUUAUAGCCAGGCCUCAACAUCAUACCAUCACAUCUCUCUCUCUCUCUCGCGCUUUCUCUCCUUUCUCUCUCUCUCUCGCUUUCUCUCUCUCUCUCUCUCCCACGCUUUCUCUCCUGUCUCUCUCUCUCCCCCUCUCAUUCUCUCUCUCUCCCUCUUUCUCUCCUUUCCCUCUCUCCCCCUCUCUCGCGCUUUCUCUCCAUUCUCUCUCUCGCUCUCUCUCUCCUUACUCCCUCUCACUCUCUCUCCCCCUCUCGCUCUUUCUCUCCUUUCUCUCUCUCGCUCUUUCUCUACUUUCUCUCUCUCACUCUUUCUCUACUUUCUCUCUCCCCCUCUCUCUUGCUCUCUCUCCCCCUCUCUCGCUCUUUCUCUCCUUUCUCUCUCUCGCUCUCUCUCUCCUUACUCCCUCUCACUCUCUCUCCCCCUCUCGCUCUUUCUCUCCUUUCUCUCUCUCGCUCUUUCUCUACUUUCUCUCUCUCACUCUCUCUCCCCCUCUCUCGCUCUUUCUCUCCUUUCUCUCUCUCGCUUCCCCCCCUCUCGUUCUCUCUCUCUCUCUUACCCCCUCUCUCUCUCUCUCUCUCUCUCUCUCUCUCUCUCUCUCUCACUGUCUCUCUCUCUCUCCCCCUCUCUCGGUCUCACUCUCUCUCUCGCUCUCUCUCUCACCCUCUCUCUCGCUCUCUCUCUCUCCCCUUCUCAUUCUCUCUCUCUCUCUCCCUCUCUCUCCCUCUUUCUCUCCUUUCACUUUCUCUCUCUCGCCCCCUCCCUCGCUCUUUCUCUCCUUUCUCUCUCUCGCUCUCUCUCUCCCCCUCUCUCGCUUUUUCUCUCCUUUCUCUCUCUCGCUCUCUCCCCCCUCUCUCGCUCUCUCUCUCUCUCUCUCUCUCUCACUGUCUCUCUCUCUGUCUCACUCUCUCUCUCGCU
ensembl:lncRNA